GUGUUGAAUGAAAGGAGAGAAGGUUAGCACUCCUCUGGACAGUUAUGGUAGUUUGU
rnacentral:ncRNA from 1 species